rnacentral:snoRNA from 1 species
UGUUUCUACUAAAAAAAUGAAAUAGUGGCUAUAAUGACAACACAGGUUUUGCUUCUAUCACAUAAUUUUAUUGCACUGGUGGUGAGACCUGUAACUUUU